AGGAUGAACGCUGGCGGCGUGCCUAACACAUGCAAGUCGAACGCUCGCAAGAGAGUGGCGCACGGGUGAGUAACACGUAGCUGACCUGCCUUCAAGUGUCGGAUAACGUUCCGAAAGGGACGCUAAUACGGCGUAAGCUCCCGGUCUUUAGAGGGCUGAGAGAAAAGAUUUAUCGCUUGAAGAGGGGGCUGCGACCCAUCAGGUAGUUGGUAAGGUAACGGCUUACCAAGCCAACGACGGGUAGGGGGUCUGAGAGGAUGAUCCCCCACACUGGGACUGAGACACGGCCCAGACUCCUACGGGAGGCAGCAGUGAGGGAUAUGGUCAAUGGGGGCAACCCUGAACCAGCGACGCCGCGUGGGUGAUGAAGGUCUUCGGAUCGUAAAACCCUUUUCUAGGUGACGAGACAAGGACGGUAGCCUAGGAAUAAGUCUCGGCUAACUACGUGCCAGCAGCCGC
rnacentral:rRNA from 1 species